AUCUGCAACGCCAACAAUUGACCUCAACAGCAGCAGCGACCGCUUCGAUCGCUUGGAUUCUGGAUUCUAUGUGAUAUGGACAAUUUCCCUAUCCUUAAUCUGCGCAGCUGAGUCGUCCCCUCUGCGUUUCUGCUGCUGCUGCUGUUGUGGACAGAUGUUGACAUUGCAGGU